rnacentral:rRNA from 1 species
CCUGGUUGAUCUUGCCAAUAGUCAUAUGCUUGUAUCAAAAAUUAAGCCAUGCAUGUGCAAGUAUGAACCAAUUUGAACUGUGAAACUACGAAUGGCUCAUUAAAUCGGUUAUAGUUUUUUUAUGGCAUGUGCUACUUGGAUAACCAUAGUAAUUCUAGAGCUAAUAUGUGCAACAAACCCGACUUUUGGGAGGGGCGCAUUUAUUAGAUAAAAGGCUGACACAAGCUCUGCUCAUUGAUCUGGUGAUUCAUGAUAACUCGACAGAUCGCAUGGCCUUUGUGCCGGCGACGCGUCAUUCAAAUUUAUGCCAUGUCAACUUUUGAUGGUAGGAUAGGGGCCUACCUUGGUGGUGAUGGGUGACGGAGAAUUAGGGUUCGAUUCCAGAGAAGGAGCGUGAGAAAAGGCUACCACAUCUAAAGAAGGCAACAGGCGUGCAAAUUAACCAAUCCUGACACAAAGAGGUAGUGACAAUAAAUGACAGUACCGGGCACAUUAGUGUCUGGUAAUUGGAAUGAGUACAGUCUAAAUCCCUUAACGAAGAUCCAUUGGAGGACAAGUUUGGUGCCAGCAGCCGCGGUAAUUCCAGCUCCAAUAGUGCAUGUUUAAGUUGUUGAAGUGACCUUGGGCCGGGUUGGCCGGUCCGCCUCAUGGUAAGCACCGACCUACUCGACCCUUCGACUCGGAUCGCACUCCUAGACUUAAUUGGUCAGAUCGUCUUUUCAGCAUAGUUACUUUAAAGAAAUUAGAAUGCUCAAAGCAAGUCAUCACUCUGGAUACAUUCCAUGGGAUAACAUCAUAGAAUUCCGGUCCUAUUGUGUUGGCCUUCGGGAUCGGAGUAAUGAUUAAUAGGGACUGUCUGGGGCAUUCGUAUUUCAUAGUGAGAGGUGAAAUUCUUGGAUUUGUGAAAGACGAACAACUGCGAAAGCAUUUGCCAAGGAUUUUUUCAUUAAUCAAGAAUGAAAGUUGAUGGCUCGAAGAUGAUUAGAUAUCGUCCUAGUCUCAAUCAUAAACUUUUUCAUUAAUCAAGAAUGAAAGUUGAUGGCUCGAAGAUGAUUAGAUAUCGUCCUAGUCUCAAUCAUAAACGAUGCCGACUAGGGAUUGACGGAUGUUGCUUAUAGGACUCCGCUAGCACCUUAUGAGAAAUCAAAGUCUUUGGGUUCGGAGGGGGGGGGGGUAUGGUCGCAAGGCUGAAACUUAAAGGAAUGGGAUAAUUAAUUGUGUGCCCUUAGUUGUGCCCCCUUCGGCAGGUUUACCCCUAGUUUCGGAAAACCAUCGUUCUUGCCCAACUCACUUUGAUUUUCUUAUGCUUUUUCCCUUCCGUCAUGGUUCAAAAAUAAUAUAUUAACAUUAAAAAAUUUAGAUGUAGGCUUUCGUGCUAGUUCACAUGUAGCGUACAAGGAUGACAUUUCAUAACAGAAUUUAGAUGCAGCAUGUCAUGAAAAAAAUGUCGAAAAAAGAAUAAUAAAGCUAGUACAUCAUGCUUGCACAUAGUACUCUGGUUUCGCACCACAAGAGGAGGCCAAAUCAGUAGUAUCAUCACAUCACAGCGCCAAUGCAUCACAUCGUUGCAUGAUAGCGUGAUUCUAGCCGAUGAUUUGUAACUUGCUAGCAAUGAAAGAUGACUCGGCUGGCAUUGGAUUUGCUUGUAACACUAGUCUCUGCCUAACAGUCCUCUGCCUUGCGAACAGUUUCAGAAAAUCAAAGAUGGCUUACUACAUGCAUCAGACUGGAUACAAGUUUAUAUUUCUGGACAGUUGGAUCAGACUGUGGAUGAUCAGAAGCUAACAAUGUGCUAA